UAGCGACUCUUCUUCUUCAUCACCAUUGUUUGGAAUCACAAUAAUUUGCCCUUAUCACUAACGCUAACUUAGUAACUUUAGUUUGGGAUUCAAGGAGUUUUGAUCUCGAGCUUUAAAUAACUUUACAAUGCCUUUGUACUAAAGUUCAACUUCUCUUUCAUCCUUCAUCUCACCUUAUCUUCAAUUGGAUUAAUAUAAGGCGACCUUUUGCAUCCUCAAAUCUCUUGCAAUAUGAUAUCACGAAUAUGUGGAUCGCGACUCAGCAUGCGUGGUUCUGACGAUCCCUGGUGUAGAUCCAAGCUCCCUUGAUGAAUCUGAGUCGUCGGAUGUUAAACUUAAGAAGGUGCGAGCAGCAGUCAGUACUUAUCGAGAAGCUAACGAGAGUUGUUGCAGACAGCUAAAGAUUGAAGGAGAUGCAUUGGAGUGUUUCAGUGGAACAGAGAAAGAGAUUGUCAAGAUGAUAAAGACAGUUAUGAUGAUGAACGUACAAGGCAAGCCACGCCUAGCCAAUUUCUAGGUGAUUUUUCGCCUUUUAUUUGUUUCAUUUUAAUUUCUUAGUUCGACUGCAACCGCUUUUCAACUUAUGAAUUGUGGUUUGAGCUAGAGAAGCAACACAAGCUCAUACACGGCGUGUUUUCAGGUUUGAAUAUUUCAAGAUUCCAGUCUAAAAUCACCUCAGCAUCUUGAUCCCUACUCUAGAUUUUAUAUUCUAAAAUAUUUCAAUUGUGUUAUUAUAUGGAUUGUUACAGCCUGUGAUUUUACAGUAUUGUGCAGUUUAUCUGAAAACAUCUGGAAACUGAGUCAUUUAGUUGUCCGGCAUGAGACACAUUUAAGAAAGUCACAGAGUCAUCGGGCCUUGGAAUUCACAGCUAGCAAGUAGCAAGGAAAAGUAAAGGAAACGUUUUGUACUGAGGCUUUUACUCAUACCAAAUAUUUCAUACUGUUUAUCUUAUAUUUAUUUGUAAGAGUUCAGACUAUAAGACAAGGGUAUGUUUAAAUAUUCGUCAAACUUUAGAGGUGGAUGGAUAAUAUGGUUUUUAAUCCUUGCAAGCUGUUGUAUGUUAAAUUGGAGAACAUGUUUUCAAGCGAGUUUCAGCCUAAAAGGGAUCUAUUUAGUGCAUUAAUGUCUUAGAUUUAUUGGGCACAUGAAGCUCAUCGAUGGGCAUCAUCUCCAGCAACGUCCAGUCCUUGACAUGAUCAUGGGGAAUGAGAUUGUUGGUACACGUACAACCUAAAGAGGAAGGUCUGGUUCAGCUCAAUGUCUUCCUCCAGAUUCCAGAGUAUUCAUUGAGAACGAGGUCAGCCGACCCAUCCAGUAUCUAUCUUGCUGUGCAUCCUAACGCAUCUGAACUGGUGAACACAUCGAAGAUAACGAAUUUUGAAACCUCACAAUUGGUGCGAUAGUCACCUUCGUCAACAAUGAAUCCGUUCAGAUAAUAAAGACGAGGAAUAAAUCUACAAGUACAAAAAGGUAGUCGAGGCAUAGGUUGGUCAUCUCAUACGAGGAAAUUUAAAGUAAGUUCUCUUUCCUGAUGCCUGAAAACAUGUUCUCACUUCAUUGAAACCAUAAUCUCAGAAAUUUAUCAUUUAUGUCUAUAAUAAGGUGUUCCGUAUGUACCUAUCUACAACAAGCGGCCAUACCUUUAUGUGUAUUCACUUAUAUUUUUUGAAACAAAAACAAUGUCUUCGAUUUGUUGAGCUUGGUCUGAAGCUCAAUGUUUUUUACUUUUGUUAACGCUAUUUCGUCUCAUAUAGAACGGUCCUUACGCAUGCUUUCUUA